rnacentral:rRNA from 1 species
GAUGAACGCUGGCGGCGUGCCUAAUACAUGCAAGUCGAGCGAACGGACGAGAAGCUUGCUUCUCUGAUGUUAGCGGCGGACGGGUGAGUAACACGUGGAUAACCUACCUAUAAGACUGGGAUAACUUCGGGAAACCGGAGCUAAUACCGGAUAAUAUUUUGAACCGCAUGGUUCAAAAGUGAAAGACGGUCUUGCUGUCACUUAUAGAUGGAUCCGCGCCGCAUUAGCUAGUUGGUAAGGUAACGGCUUACCAAGGCAACGAUGCGUAGCCGACCUGAGAGGGUGAUCGGCCACACUGGAACUGAGACACGGUCCAGACUCCUACGGGAGGCAGCAGUAGGGAAUCUUCCGCAAUGGGCGAAAGCCUGACGGAGCAACGCCGCGUGAGUGAUGAAGGUCUUCGGAUCGUAAAACUCUGUUAUUAGGGAAGAACAUAUGUGUAAGUAACUGUGCACAUCUUGACGGUACCUAAUCAGAAAGCCACGGCUAACUACGUGCCAGCAGCCGCGGUAAUACGUAGGUGGCAAGCGUUAUCCGGAAUUAUUGGGCGUAAAGCGCGCGUAGGCGGUUUUUUAAGUCUGAUGCGAAAGCCCACGGCUCAACCGUGGAGGGUCAUUGGAAACUGGAAAACUUGAGUGCAGAAGAGGAAAGUGGAAUUCCAUGUGUAGCGGUGAAAUGCGCAGAGAUAUGGAGGAACACCAGUGGCGAAGGCGACUUUCUGGUCUGUAACUGACGCUGAUGUGCGAAAGCGUGGGGAUCAGACAGGAUUAGAUACCCUGGUAGUCCACGCCGUAAACGAUGAGUGCUAAGUGUUAGGGGGUUUCCGCCCCUUAGUGCUGCAGCUAACGCAUUAAGCACUCCGCCUGGGGAGUACGACCGCAAGGUUGAAACUCAAAGGAAUUGACGGGGACCCGCACAAGCGGUGGAGCAUGUGGUUUAAUUCGAAGCAACGCGAAGAACCUUACCAAAUCUUGACAUCCUUUGACAACUCUAGAGAUAGAGCCUUCCCCUUCGGGGGACAAAGUGACAGGUGGUGCAUGGUUGUCGUCAGCUCGUGUCGUGAGAUGUUGGGUUAAGUCCCGCAACGAGCGCAACCCUUAAGCUUAGUUGCCAUCAUUAAGUUGGGCACUCUAAGUUGACUGCCGGUGACAAACCGGAGGAAGGUGGGGAUGACGUCAAAUCAUCAUGCCCCUUAUGAUUUGGGCUACACACGUGCUACAAUGGACAAUACAAAGGGCAGCGAAACCGCGAGGUCAAGCAAAUCCCAUAAAGUUGUUCUCAGUUCGGAUUGUAGUCUGCAACUCGACUACAUGAAGCUGGAAUCGCUAGUAAUCGUAGAUCAGCAUGCUACGGUGAAUACGUUCCCGGGUCU